AACGAACGCUGGCGGCAUGCCUAACACAUGCAAGUCGAACGAGACCUUCGGGUCUAGUGGCGCACGGGUGCGUAACGCGUGGGAAUCUGCCCUUGGGUUCGGAAUAACAGUUAGAAAUGACUGCUAAUACCGGAUAAUGUCUUCGGACCAAAGAUUUAUCGCCCAGGGAUGAGCCCGCGUAGGAUUAGCUAGUUGGUGAGGUAAAGGCUCACCAAGGCGACGAUCCUUAGCUGGUCUGAGAGGAUGAUCAGCCACACUGGGACUGAGACACGGCCCAGACUCCUACGGGAGGCAGCAGUGGGGAAUAUUGGACAAUGGGCGAAAGCCUGAUCCAGCAAUGCCGCGUGAGUGAUGAAGGCCUUAGGGUUGUAAAGCUCUUUUACCCGGGAUGAUAAUGACAGUACCGGGAGAAUAAGCCCCCGGCUAACUCCGUGCCAGCAGCCGCGGUAAU
rnacentral:rRNA from 1 species